rnacentral:rRNA from 1 species
GUGUCAGCCGCCGCGGUAAAACGUAGGAGGCGAGCGUUAUCCGGAUUCACUGGGCGUAAAGCGCGCGUAGGCGGUUUGUUAAGUCGGACGUGAAAGCCCCUGGCUCAACUGGGGGAGGCCGUUCGAUACUGGCAGGCUUGAGGGUGAGAGAGGAGAGUGGAAUUCCCGGUGUAGCGGUGGAAUGCGUAGAGAUCGGGAGGAACACCAGUGGCGAAGGCGACUCUCUGGCUCACCCCUGACGCUGAUAGCGCGAAAGCGUGGGGAGCAAACGGGAUUAGAUACCCCCGUAGUCC